rnacentral:misc_RNA from 1 species
AAGUCGUAACAAGGUUUCCGUAGGUGAACCUGCGGAAGGAUCAUUAAUACAUCUGAGCGCACUUUAAUGUGACUCUUUGUAUCCCAUUUACCCCAACCCAGAGGUGCAUUGUGGCCCGUCAAACGGUUAGCAGUGUAUCAGUACGUAUGACAAAGUCUGACUUUGGCUUACAUUACCCAUAAGUUACCCCCAUUUACACUUAUACAGUUUUAAGAAUGAUACCUAUAAUUAUAUAA